GAGGGAUUAACUCAGCUGGUAGAGUGUCACCUUGACGUGGUGAAAGUCGUAGGUUCAAGUCCUAUAUCCCUCACCA
rnacentral:tRNA from 2 species